UACAGAGGUCUCAAGCGUUGUUCGGAUUCAUUGGGCGUAAAGGGUGCGUAGGCGGCGCGGAGGGUGGGAUGUGAAAUCCCCCCGGCUCAACCGGGGAAUAGCGUCCCAAACCGCCGUGCUCGAGGGAGACAGAGGUGAGCGGAACUGAUGGUGGAGCGGUGAAAUGCGUUGAUAUCAUCAGGAACACCAGUGGCGAAGGCGGCUCACUGGGUCUUUCCUAACGCUGAGGCACGAAAGCUAGGGGAGCGAACGGG
rnacentral:rRNA from 1 species